AGUGAACGCUGGCGGUAGGCCUAACACAUGCAAGUCGAACGGCAGCACAGUAAGAGCUUGCUCUUACGGGUGGCGAGUGGCGGACGGGUGGGGAAUACAUCGGAAUCUACUUUUUCGUGGGGAUAACGUAGGGAAACUUACGCUAAUACCGCAUACGACCUACGGGUGAAAGCAGGGGAUCUUCGGACCUUUCGCGAUUGAAUGAGCCGAUGUCGGAUUAGCUAGUUGGCGGGGUAAAGGCCCAACAAGGCGACGAUCCGUAGCUUGUCUGAGGAUGAUCAGCCACACUGGAACUGAGACACGGUCCAGACUCCUACGGGAGGCAGCAGUGGGGAAUAUUGGACAAUGGGCGCAAGCCUGAUCCAGCCAUACCGCGUGGGUGAAGAAGGCCUUCGGGUUGUAAAGCCCUUUUGUUAGGAAAGAAAAGCAGCAGGUUAAUACCCCGCUGUUCUGACGGUACCCAAAGAAUAAGCACCGGCUAACUUCGUG
rnacentral:rRNA from 1 species